GCGCUUCGGCGCACCCAGAAACCCUUUGUGAACUUAUACCUAUUUGUUGCCUCGGCGUAGGCCGGCCUUUUGUGACAAAGGCCCCCUGGAAACAGGGAGCAGCCCGCCGGCGGCCAACUAAACUCUUGUUUCUAUAGUGAAUCUCUGAGUAAAAACAUAAAUGAAUCAAAACUUUCAACAACGGAUCUCUUGGUUCUGGCAUCGAUGAAGAACGCAGCGAAAUGCGAUAAGUAAUGUGAAUUGCAGAAUUCAGUGAAUCAUCGAAUCUUUGAACGCACAUUGCGCCCUCUGGUAUUCCGGAGGGCAUGCCUGUUCGAGCGUCAUUUCAACCCUCAAGCCUGGCUUGGUGAUGGGGCACUGCCUUCUAACGAGGGCAGGCCCUGAAAUCUAGUGGCGAGCUCGCUAGGACCCCGAGCGUAGUAGUUAUAUCUCGUUCUGGAAGGCCCUGGCGGUGCCCUGCCGUUAAACCCCCAACUUCUGAAAAUUUGACCUCGGAUCAGGUAGGAAUACCCGCUGAACUUAAGCAUAU
rnacentral:sRNA from 1 species